GAGAGAGAGAGAGCACAUGUGGAUGAGCAGGGGAGAGACAGAAAGAAAGAGAAAGAUAGAAUCCCAAGCAGUGGGAGAGCCUGACAUAGGGCUUGAACUCACAGACUGUACUGUGAGAUCAUGACCUGAGCCAAAAGCAAAAGUCAGAUGUUCAACUGACAGAGAUACCCAGGCGCCCCCAGACCUUUUUUUAAAGUUGUUAUUACUGUUUCUUUUUUAAAUUUUUUUAAAGUUUAUUUAUUUUUUGAGAGAGCAUGAGUAGGGGAAGGGCAGAGAGAGGGAGACACAGAAUCUGAAGCAGGCUCCAGACUCGGAGCUGUCAGCACAGAGCCCGAUGCGACACUCGAUCUCAUGAACUGUGAGAUCAUGACCUGAGCUGAAGUCAGACACUCAAAUGACUGAGCCACCCAGGUGCCCCAAAGCUGUUGCUACUGUUCUUUAUUUUUAUCACACAGUGUGUGUAUAAAUGUGCAUGCAUAUGUGUACAUACGUACACAUACAUAUGCACAUAUACACAAGUACACAUACCUAUGCACAUAUACAUACAUACAAUAGACCUCUAAAAGAUGAAUGUGACACGGCGAAGUGCUGACGUGCCAGCUAGGUCAGGAUGUGUUAGCAAUGCAAUGAUGUGCUUAAGCUCCUUGAAGUACAAGGAGUUAUUCAGAAGCCAUCAAGGGUAAAAAGGUACCUUCGUAGCAGGUCAAAUUGUAAUUUCCUCCAGCAUCCCUACAGAAUAACAUGAUUGAUUCUUGAAUGGAGUUGAACAAAAAUAUUUCUGACCUAAUCUUUACUCCUUCAACGAUGGCAAUCCCUAAACCCCUCUUUACCAGGAUCUGUGUUGUCACCUCAUCCAUCUCUUCACAGAUUUUUCUGGAGGCCUCACGGGGCAGUCAAGAGUGACUGAGCUGCAUGUUCUCUUCUCAGACCAAAACUGCAGGCAAAUAUUUCUUUCCAAACUGACCCGCAUUUCUGGUUCUCUCCAUGAAUAUAUGGACUCACAGAAGUUUGGAGAAAGACAUACAAUGCUGAUGAAAUACAUUAUUUAGUCAAAGUAUCACACACUUUUUUUCUGCCAGUAUUUAACCUCCUGUGCAUACCAUUAAAACAGCGGUACAUUUGUGUAUGAGGAGCUCAUGACUACACUAACUCUCCUUCCUUUUUCAGUGUGUUUCCUUUUUUAGGGACAAGGCAUUAUUAGACUCAGAAUCUGAUUGGGAGAAGAGCAGUGGAAGGUUGUGAAAAUGAAUUGCAACCAAAACAACUUAAGGCUUGAAGAGGUAUAAAAGUGGCUAAACCAUUAUAGAAAUUCUGACAAACUGUAGGAAAAAAUGGCAAGUUAGCCUUCAGGAGUGAUCAAGUAGACCAUGAAAGGAAAUACCCACUGUGACAAAGAUGGACAGAGAACACAGAAGACUGAGAAUAAUGAUUGGAGAAAAGAGAAACAUCCUAAGAAAUCUAAUAGCACUCUCAGACGAUGGAAAGGAGAUUGUGUAAAGGGAAGCAGCAGCAGAUUAUUGGGCUGUGGAGGUGCUUGCUGGUGGACAGAAUAUGCCCAAGAAAUCUGAGAAAGAAGCCUAAACAGAGAGAUAAAUAACAGGCCCCUGGAAAAACACUUUGAAAAUGCAGUGCGGGUUCCAAGAAAAGCACUCUACCCAACUGUUCAGAGUAUGAAGACUGUCACAACACAGCUGGCAGAAACCACAUCACUGGAAAAAACCUGAAUCAAAGAAUUAGAGGGUAUGAAGACAGCUCUCUUCAAUUCCCAAUUCAGCCCUUUGCCAUAGAGCAAGAGAACCAUGGGCAACCUGCUUGCAUCACAAAAGUACUAAGCAAAAAUUGUACCUGAUCAGAGAGUUCAGACUCCGGGAGAAAGCUCAGGCUGCAGAAGGGAGCAAAUGGAAUCUCAGGUGAAUACGUCAAAGCAGCAGCUACUUGACUAAACACCCUCAGAUAUCCUUCCUCAAGAAUCACUGGAUAAGGACUGUACUCAAAGUGAACUUGUAGGAAGUUAAUCAGAAGGCCAAGGGUGUGGGCCUUGAAAUCACAGGAUGUGUGUGUGUGUGUGUGUGUGUGUUUGAUGUACAACCAAGUCUGGUCCACUACCUUCCUUUCCAGAGUAUGGGUUCAGACAUUUACAGAUAGUCUUUGUUGUAUUACAAAAGAUUAAGUUAAAAAGGCCUCCAGAUAAUCAUAAAUCAGUAGUUGUUAAACCUUUUUCCACCUUAUCACGUUUGAGAAAUAGCCCAGCUCCUGUACAUCUUUAGUCACUGUGACCUUAAUUCUCAUUCUCCAGAAUCCCUGGGGAAACAUGUUGGUAUAAUUUGUGGGGACACUUCUCUUACCCCCAUGACUAUCUUACCCACUUCCAGUCAUCAGUUGAGAUUCUGAACAUUUCUCUAGGUCUUGCUCACAAUGAUAAUAAAGUUUAUGAUUCCUAAACUGAGUAAAACUAAGCAAACAACACCUCUUUGUUUAAGCAAAACUUCUUUUUGUUUGAGCCUGUGUAUUUCACACAAGCACAGAAGUUCAGGACACUCAGGUAACAUUUAUGGGACAGUUUACAUGUGUAUCACUUCAGUGCAGGCAGAGGGCCCAGUACAAAGAAAAAUGUCAAUAAAUAUGUAUUUAAUAAAUGCUAAUUAAGUAAAAUAUCUAACAUUUCUAAGGUCAAAGGCUAGUCCAUGAUAUUUUAGACUUUUUAAGUAGCUAUAUUUGUCAUGUCCAAAGGGAACUGUCAACACGAAUUUAAACAUAAAAAAAUAGGUGAAAAUACAAAACAAAAUGCUUAAAUGCAUACAUGCCCUAAAUAACGAUGACCUUCAAGUGUGUAUCACAUAUCUAUUGGCUAUUUUCUUGUAGAUGACAAAAAAUUAUCCAUGAUUUACUUCUAUUUAGAAACACUCAAUUUCUGGCAUCGACAAGACCUCUUUUUAGAAGAGGUUUUUCAAAAAAAUUUAUCAGAUGAGCUUCUCUAAAAUAGUUUUUCUCAAAAUAAGACCCACCUGCCAACUGCAUUUAGAAUCACAGGGGGUAACUGUUUAAAGUAUAGACUCCUAAUUAACUAUUUUCUUCACAUCUAAUCUUCGAGGAGCUAGGAAUCUACAUUUCCAAUCCUUCUAGUGAGAAGUUUUAGAGCCCUUGCACAAAGACCUUGAGGGUAAGGAAAAUAAUUUCCAAAAAAGAAACAAUAAUAAAACUAUGGGAAUACAAAUAUAUGUGUAUACAUAUACACAUACACAUAUAUACAUACACACACAUACUAUUGGGUAAUAAAACUAUGGACAACAUAAGUACCUUAAAGGUUACAAAUCUGGCACUGUAAUUAUUAAAAUAAAAUCCAUAAGAAACUGUAGAAAGCUGUUUACCACACUUUUCCCCACCCCAGCACGCGCACACACGCGCGCACACACACACACACACACACAGGCCUUCUCUCCAAAAGACAGAACUUAAACUUCUUUCAGAGACCUAAUAAAACUGAACAUUACCUACUUCAUGAUUCAUUCUAGACUGGACUGAACUGGGGGUGAGCACAGGCUCCUCUCCCUAGAUGUCCCCAGUUGUUAAAAAGUUCCAAAGUUGAAUUUGACUCAAAGGUCUACUGGGAUCUCAGAUAUUCCUAUUAGCCCAAUAAGAACAUGUAGAUCCCUUUAGAGAAGGCAGAGAGCCUCAGAAACCCACUCACUGCUUCCAGGGUCCUAAAGACCCAGUCUGGAGUGGGGUUGGUCUCCAGGGAGAUGAACAGGUACACACAGUGGCAACGCACUGGCAGAAGGGCCUGGCUGUGGCUUUGCUUUCUCAAUACUUGGGGGCAGCAGCUGCUGAGUGCCCAUAAACUUGGCUGGAACUCAAAACCAGAGCUAAUAACAGUCUUUAUCGUCAGCUGAGUAUCAGCCAAGCCUAGGCAUUUCCCACCGAAGUGGGAAGAUCAGAGCCAGGAUGAUUAGGGGUAGUGCUACCCUAGAAUGUGAAUCUUUCUUCUCUUUGACAUAUCUUUCACAAUAUGAUUUUUAUCCUUACCUUGAAGCACCUGAUUUUCCUUAUUUGUAGUGUGAUGUAAAGUCCUUAAAGAUAGGGGUUGGCUCAGGUGAGCCCACAAAUCCCCAAUGGGUUUGAGCUAGUUGCUACUACCCCUUAACACAACAUCCUAACUCUUGGGAACAAAUGAUAAAACCUUACAUUUAGUAGGGUAUAAGACCAACAUUCAGGCUAAACCAGAAAAAAACCCUGCAAGUGUGAUUUUUUUUAAUAUUAAGAGAUAGGGAGUCUUUUCAUACUAGCACAAUCCUGCUCAGUUUAUGAAGACCAAUGGGAAAUUAAGAGAAACUUGCAUCACAUGGGGAAGCAACCUUAGGUUAUUUUCACACAUCUUCAGCUGACAUUCAUCUCUAUAGACCAUUUAAUCAUGCCAGUCACAAGAAAAACAAGAUAUAAUUUUCUUUAUCAAAUUUCUUUCCCUGUUCUGAUCCUACUCGGAAAAUAUACUCUCAUUUGUAAGCGGGAGAAGAAAACAUGUGCUUUCAGGGGAGUACAAUCAUUUGUAAAGGAUAUAUUCUGAAUGCCAUAAAAUUUUGUGUUUUCAUUUCUGGAGUAAAAAUAACUAUAGAAUAAAUAGAGACCUACAAAUGUUACAGAAAUAAAUAUGUAUGUUUGCACUUACAUAUAAGUCUGUAUUUUUUCUCGUCACCCCUUACUUGAUCCCUGUAACGAAUAUAAGUCCCAUUGCUUUAUUUCAGAGGUGAAUCCUGCUCAAAGUGGGAAGAAACCUUAGUGUUCAAUCUGUACAUUUUACAGAUCAGCAAAAUGGGGCCUAGAAGGUUUAGAGGGAUUUCUGCAAGGCUACACAGCUACAGAGGCACAUUGGAAAGAAGAAAACCUAAACUCCUUGACUUCUGGCCCAGCACUGUUUCCAAAGGACCAUGGAAUAUUUUUGCUCAAAGUCUCUACUGUGAUCCCAUAUUGCUUGGUUUAAAAAGCAUAAAAAGUACUUUUUUUGCUCCAUCUGUAACAUGGCUUGUGUCUGGAAGACAUACCAGUAGUGUGACUAAGUUAGAAGAAAAAUUUCCCUGCUACUGGUUUUAGAAAUGACACUGUCGCCAAAUCAUUCAGUCCUGACAAAGCUGAUGC